GCAAGUCGAGCGGUAGAGAGGUGCUUGCACCUCUUGAGAGCGGCGGACGGGUGAGUAAAGCCUAGGAAUCUGCCUGGUAGUGGGGGAUAACGCUCGGAAACGGACGCUAAUACCGCAUACGUCCUACGGGAGAAAGCAGGGGACCUUCGGGCCUUGCGCUAUCAGAUGAGCCUAGGUCGGAUUAGCUAGUUGGUGAGGUAAUGGCUCACCAAGGCGACGAUCCGUAACUGGUCUGAGAGGAUGAUCAGUCACACUGGAACUGAGACACGGUCCAGACUCCUACGGGAGGCAGCAGUGGGGAAUAUUGGACAAUGGGCGAAAGCCUGAUCCAGCCAUGCCGCGUGUGUGAAGAAGGUCUUCGGAUUGUAAAGCACUUUAAGUUGGGAGGAAGGGCAUUAACCUAAUACGUUAGUGUUUUGACGUUACCGACAGAAUAAGCACCGGCUAACUCUGUGCCAGCAGCCGCGGUAAUACAGAGGGUGCAAGCGUUAAUCGGAAUUACUGGGCGUAAAGCGCGCGUAGGUGGUUCGUUAAGUUGGAUGUGAAAUCCCCGGGCUCAGCCUGGGAACUGCAUUCAAAACUGUCGAGCUAGAGUAUGGUAGAGGGUGGUGGAAUUUCCUGUGUAGCGGUGAAAUGCGUAGAUAUAGGAAGGAACACCAGUGGCGAAGGCGACCACCUGGACUGAUACUGACACUG
rnacentral:rRNA from 1 species